AUGCAAAUCCUCCAACAGCACAAUCAAGGCAGGCAAGGGAAUCAAGGCAACAAUCAGAACCACUUUGCUACACUGAACCAGUUCCUUGCUAAUGGUCCAAAGACGUUCAGCAAUUGUGUUGAGGCUUCUGAUGCUGACGAUUGGCUUGUGGAUCUGGGCAAGCAUUUUGAAUGCAGCAACGUCAGGCUUGAAGAUUUCGUCAAGUUCGCUUCUUUCCAGCUCAAAGAUCAGGCUGCAGGCUGGUUCCAGCAGUACAAGGAUUCCAGAGGCGGAUGCUUGAUCACUUGGGAUGAUUUCCGUCAAGAUUUCUGA
rnacentral:rRNA from 1 species